UACAGAGAGAGCAAGCAUUACCCAUCUUAACUGGGUAUAAAGGGUGCGUAGGUGAACAGUAGCUAGAAGACUAGGCGGCAAUUGCUGUGUUGGCAGGUGAUCCUAGUACCAACUGUUACACGAGAUACAAGGAGGUUGUUAGAAUACGCGGUGUUCAAUUGUUCAGGAAACUGUCGAUCUCGCGGGGACUAUUCAGAGCGAAGGCAUUCAACUUGUUGUUAUCUGACACUGAGGCACGAAAGCGUGGGGAGCAAAAGGG
rnacentral:rRNA from 1 species